GACGCGGUGGCCUAAUGGUUAGCGCGUUGGACUCCGGAUCCUGCGGUCUGGGUUCGAGCCCUGGCCGAGGUCA
rnacentral:tRNA from 1 species